CCUACCCCUAGAGGUGUUGCACAUGCGGCUGCUGUGUCUCCUGGGCAUCAGUAGGUGGCAGAGAGGAGAGAGGCUACGUCUACACUCAGUGUUCUGACUGUGAAUAUCUGAAUGAGUAGUAACCUAAGAUA